ensembl:lncRNA
UAAAAACUCAUUGGAUGCAUUUAACAGCAGACAGGACGCAGCAGAAGUCUAGCUGGUGAACCAGAAGACAUGUGAAUAGAAAGAACCAUAUUGAACAACAGAUAGAAGAAAGAAUGGACAAAGCAUAAGAGACAUGUAGAAUGUAGACAAAGCAUCUAACAUUCGUGUAAUUGGUAUCCCAGAAAGCAAGAAAGUGAAGAAUGAGAAAGAAGAAAUACAUAUUGUCAAAGUCCUUACCAAUACCAGCAGAAGAUAUAUUACACUUGGGUGUUCACACCCUCGUCAUUACAUUUACUGAUUACGUGCAACAUUGGGCAAAUUCUAUACCUCCUCUGAUCUUCCUUUUUCUUUGCCUGUAAAAUUGAACCAAUAAUAUUAAUUCCUCAGAACUUUCAUAGUAUCAUCCAUAUAUGAUGAAAGUACAUAAGUACACGGACCGAGUCCAUUUGGAAAAUGCUCAUUAUAUGGGAGGCUGUGGACGCUGGGACAAAAACAUCUCAGACGCUGUUCUCAGGGAGCUCACAGUCAAGUGAGGAAGACAAAUAAUUAACAAGGCCGAAGCAAACACAUCUCAGUAGUCCAGGGGGCAUCACUAGUGAGAACUCAAAGUUUCUUUUUAGGAGGCUGGACAUAUUUUGAAACAUUCCAGAGAAAAAGCACAGGAAGAGAAGCAGGGGACAAAAAUAGCUCUGGCCCUUGAGAUGGGUUCCAGGUGCCCAGGAAGCAGGCACAUAGAAAUGAGCAAUGGGUUCUUGGAAAUUCUGGGCCAGAGCCCCACAGAGAGGGGAGGCUGAAGAUAAAAUAUAGAAUGAAAAGAAAAUGCAGCUACACACAGAACCUGCAGAGUGUCCACUUGGAGGCAAGAAGAGGAAGGGGUACGGUUGACGUGGACUGAGGGGAGCCAGGAGUGAGAGCUUCUUUCCCAGAAGAGACUUGAGAAGAGGAAGACAGUGGGCAGAGAGCUUCAGAGGGGCACGGCAAGCAGUGUGGACAGAAAUUACUUGCAUCUCCACCAAACAAAAAUCUAUCAGCUAACCCCGCCCCAACAGAGCUGCAACUUAGCCCCAUCAAUGGAGAGCCAGUCUAAGGAGCACGCUGAGCGCCUCACUGAAGAGCACCCAGGCCUCGGGGUGCUUGCCAUUGCCAAGUUCUGAGCAAUUCUUCUCCAGCACGCUCUACCCUGGCCUGGGGCAAGUCCUCUCUUGUCCCUCUGCCUAGCCAGGUCCCUGCUCUAUCCAGCCUGUUUGAGACCCUCAUUAGCCCUUCUCUCUUUUAGAAACCUUCCAUCCAAACUGGAUGAACAGCUAUUUCAGCAACUCCCUAUGGCUUCGUCUCUUCGUUCACGGGAUGCCAUGUGGCAGGAACGUGGAGACGCUGAGCAUCAGCCAUGGAUCACGAUGCUCUCUGAAUGGGAAGGUGGCCGAGGGGCUCCAACAGCUCGUCACCAUGAGCCAUUCCAUUAUAGGCACUGUGUUGAAGCCCCAGCCACCGAGACCUGAGAGGUCCUAUUUUACUCUGGGUCAUGGGCAGAGAGGAGAAACAGCUGGAAAGAUAAAGCCAGAACUAGGAAAAUGGCCAUAGAAGACCACGGUGAAACUCAUCAAAUAGAACACUUAAAAUAUGUGUAUUUCAUGUUAUGCUAAUUAUUCUGGAUUAACCUGAAUUUUAAAAAUUAAAUUUGAAAAAGGAAACAAA